UUUUGUAUAAUGGGUCAGCGACUUAUAUUCUGUAGCAAGGUUAACCGAAUAGGGGAGCCGAAGGGAAACCGAGUCUUAACUGGGCGUUAAGUUGCAGGGUAUAGACCCGAAACCCGGUGAUCUAGCCAUGGGCAGGUUGAAGGUUGGGUAACACUAACUGGAGGACCGAACCGACUAAUGUUGAAAAAUUAGCGGAUGACUUGUGGCUGGGGGUGAAAGGCCAAUCAAACCGGGAGAUAGCUGGUUCUCCCCGAAAGCUAUUUAGGUAGCGCCUCGUGAAUUCAUCUCCGGGGGUAGAGCACUGUUUCGGCAAGGGGGUCAUCCCGACUUACCAACCCGAUGCAAACUGCGAAUACCGGAGAAUGUUAUCACGGGAGACACACGGCGGGUGCUAACGUCCGUCGUGAAGAGGGAAACAACCCAGACCGCCAGCUAAGGUCCCAAAGUCAUGGUUAAGUGGGAAACGAUGUGGGAAGGCCCAGACAGCCAGGAUGUUGGCUUAGAAGCAGCCAUCAUUUAAAGAAAGCGUAAUAGCUCACUGGUCGAGUCGGCCUGCGCGGAAGAUGUAACGGGGCUAAACCAUGCACCGAAGCUGCGGCAGCGACACUAUGUGUUGUUGGGUAGGGGAGCGUUCUGUAAGCCUGUGAAGGUGUGCUGUGAGG
rnacentral:rRNA from 1 species